CGGAAUUAUUGGGCGUAAAGCGCGCGCAGGCGGUCCAUUAAGUCUGAUGUGAAAGCCCACGGCUCAACCGUGGAGGGUCAUUGGAAACUGGGGGACUUGAGUACAGAAGAGGAAAGCGGAAUUCCACGUGUAGCGGUGAAAUGCGUAGAGAUGUGGAGGAACACCAGUGGCGAAGGCGGCUUUCUGGUCUGUAACUGACGCUGAGGCGCGAAAGCGUGGGGAGCAAACAGG
rnacentral:rRNA from 1 species